GACGAACGCUGGCGGCGUGCUUAACACAUGCAAGUCGAGCGGUAAGGCCCUUUCGGGGGUACACGAGCGGCGAACGGGUGAGUAACACGUGGGUGACCUGCCCUCAGCUCUGGGAUAAGCCUGGGAAACCGGGUCUAAUACUGGAUAUGACUCCAUGACGCAUGUUGUGGGGUGGAAAGCCUUGUGCGGCUGAGGAUGGGCCCGCGGCCUAUCAGCUUGUUGGUGGGGUAACGGCCACCAAGGCGUCGACGGGUAGCCGGCCUGAGAGGGCGACCGGCCACACUGGGACUGAGACACGGCCCAGACUCCUACGGGAGGCAGCAGUGGGGAUAUUGCGCAAUGGGCGAAAGCCUGACGCAGCAACGCCGCGUGAGGGAUGACGGCCU
rnacentral:rRNA from 1 species